rnacentral:rRNA from 1 species
UUCCGGUUGAUCCUGCCAGAGGUUACUGCUAUCGAGGUUCGACUAAGCCAUGCGAGUCGAAUGUAGCAAUACAUGGCGUACUGCUCAGUAACACGUGGACAACCUACCCUUGGGACGGGGAUAAACCCGGGAAACUGGGUAUAAUACCCGAUAGUCCUCGACUGCUGGAAUGCAUCGAGGUCGAAAGCUCCGGUGCCCAAGGAUGGGUCUGCGGCCUAUCAGGUAGUAGUGGGUGUAGCGUACCUACUAGCCUACGACGGGUACGGGUUGUGAGAGCAAGAGCCCGGAGAUGGAUUCUGAGACACGAAUCCAGGCCCUACGGGGUGCAGCAGGCGCGAAAACUUUACAAUGCUGG